rnacentral:rRNA from 1 species
UCAUCUUCGGGGGUAGAGCACUGUUUCGGCUAGGGGGUCAUCCCGACUUACCAACCCGAUGCAAACUACGAAUACCGAAGAAUGUUAUCACGGGAGACACACGGCGGGUGCUAACGUCCGUCGUGAAGAGGGAAACAACCCAGACCGCCAGCUAAGGUCCCAAAGUCAUGGUUAAGUGGGAAACGAUGUGGGAAGGCCCAGACAGCCAGGAUGUUGGCUUAGAAGCAGCCAUCAUUUAAAGAAAGCGUAAUAGCUCACUGGUCGAGUCGGCCUGCGCGGAAGAUGUAACGGGGCUAAACCAUGCACCGAAGCUGCGGCAGCGACACUAUGUGUUGUUGGGUAGGGGAGCGUUCUGUAAGCCGUUGAAGGUGGCCUGUGAGGGUUGCUGGAGGUAUCAGAAGUGCGAAUGCUGACAUAAGUAACGAUAAUGCGGGUGAAAAACCCGCACGCCGGAAGACCAAGGGUUCCUGUCCAACGUUAAUCGGGGCAGGGUGAGUCGACCCCUAAGGCGAGGCCGAAAGGCGUAGUCGAUGGGAAACAGGUUAAUAUUCCUGUACUUGGUGUUACUGCGAAGGGGGGACGGAGAAGGCUAUGUUGGCCGGGCGACGGUUGUCCCGGUUUAAGCAUGUAGGCGGAUGUUCCAGGUAAAUCCGGAACGUCACUAACGCUGAGGUGUGAUGACGAGGCACUACGGUGCUGAAGUGACAAAUGCCCUGCUUCCAGGAAAAGCCUCUAAGCAUCAGGUAACAUCAAAUCGUACCCCAAACCGACACAGGUGGUCAGGUAGAGAAUACCAAGGCGCUUGAGAGAACUCGGGUGAAGGAACUAGGCAAAAUGGUGCCGUAACUUCGGGAGAAGGCACGCUGAUGGUAGGUGAAGUGACUUGCUCAUGGAGCUGAAAUCAGUCGAAGAUACCAGCUGGCUGCAACUGUUUAUUAAAAACACAGCACUGUGCAAACACGAAAGUG